CAUCAGAUGACUGAAAGUAAGUAAUGGUCUCUUAAACCAAUUUAUAGUAAAUUAACAUCUACUUCUGAUGA
rnacentral:tRNA from 1 species